rnacentral:rRNA from 1 species
GACGAACGCUGGCGGCGUGCCUAAUACAUGCAAGUUGAGCGCUGAAGGUUGGUACUUGUACCAACUGGAUGAGCAGCGAACGGGUGAGUAACGCGUGGGGAAUCUGCCUCUGAGCGGGGGACAACAUUUGGAAACGAAUGCUAAUACCGCAUAAAAACUUUAAACACAAGUUUUAAGUUUGAAAGAUGCAAUUGCAUCACUCAAAGAUGAUCCCGCGUUGUAUUAGCUAGUUGGUGAGGUAAAGGCUCACCAAGGCGAUGAUACAUAGCCGACCUGAGAGGGUGAUCGGCCACAUUGGGACUGAGACACGGCCCAAACUCCUACGGGAGGCAGCAGUAGGGAAUCUUCGGCAAUGGACGAAAGUCUGACCGAGCAACGCCGCGUGAGUGAAGAAGGUUUUCGGAUCGUAAAACUCUGUUGGUAGAGAAGAACGUUGGUGAGAGUGGAAAGCUCAUCAAGUGACGGUAACUACCCAGAAAGGGACGGCUAACUACGU